rnacentral:rRNA from 1 species
UACGGAGGGUGCGAGCGUUGUCCGGAAUCACUGGGCGUAAAGGGCGCGUAGGCGGCUUCUCAAGCGUGUGGUGAAAGUCCGGGGCUCAACCCCGGAUCGGCCGUGCGGACUGGGGAGCUCGAGUUCUGUAGAGGCGGGUGGAAUUCCGGGUGUAGCGGUGGAAUGCGUAGAGAUCCGGAAGAACACCGGUGGCGAAGGCGGCCCGCUGGGCAGUUGCUGACACUGAGGCGCGACAGCGUGGGGAGCAAACAGG